UGCACUUGUCUGCCGAUAAUUUAGCCUACUUGUCUGCGAAAUUCUUGGUGCAAUGGAAGGGCCUAGCGUUCAUUGAGAUUCAGAAUGUUGUUUCUGGUUUCUGACAACACACAGCAGCCGGCCAGCCAGUACCUCGCCUGUAGCCACAGCGUCAUGUGAUCAUGACUGAUCAGUUCCUUUCAUGUAAACUGUGUCUAGUCUGUCUUUUGCGUCGUUUUCCUUUGCUUUGGAGAUCAGCAGGCCUCUACUGUGGAUGCAGUCAGUAACACCAGUCCCAAUUGCAUAGAUCAGAAGUGGACCCUAUAGCCUGGAGAGCCUGCAGUGGUCCCACAGUGGCCGCGAUGGUUGCCAGGGGUCACCGUAGAUUCUAUCUCCUCGGUCGCGGACGCUAUAGGAAGUGACACGGGCGGUGUGACAUCCCUGGGGGGCUAUUUCUGUCCCCCACUCCCUGACAUGCUGCAUCCACAGGCACUGAAUGACUGACACACACACAUGCACGCACGCACACACACACACACACACACACGCACGCACACACACACACACUGAGUGAUUGACUUCCCUGUGCUCAUUGUCACUGGACGACCUCCAAACUUGAUGCUGAGCUGGGAAACAUCUGAGUGGGGCUCGUGUCCUUGGUGGCCCCUAUGGGCCUGGCGCCUCUGGUUGGAUGAAGAGUGUUUUAAUAGUGAUUCAGUCUAUUCAAUGCUGACGUUUCCAUUGAAAUGAACUCAGUGUUUAAUGUAGCUGUCUUCAUUUACUCCCUCCC